CAGCAGGGCUACCAGGAGCAGGAUGAGGGCAGCAACCCCUACAGUGGUCCAGGAACUGCAGCAAGCAGAACAGGGAGGUGGUCACUAACAAACACACUGGUGCCUGGAAUUUCCUGCCUAUUGAACACACUCUCUCCCAGCGCUGUGUAAUUCGUACAUAAUUCUGCCUCUGCCUGCAGCGCAUGGCACCGUAGAUGGAGUUCGUGAAGUGUAUCUGCAGCACUUUGGCCCAUCUGGGCCACAGCCCCUGAAUUCCAGGGACCAGAGCCAUCACUCUCCUCUCCCUCACUCUCCUCUUACCCUGCCCACCUGCCUCAUGCACACAGACAGUGUGUCUGGAACUCCCUUUUCCGCCUCCCCACCUGCCCCUGAGAUGGCCGCUGCCCUGCUGCCUCUACCUACCCACUCCUCUAAGCCCCAUUCCCAGCGGCUGACAGGCCUGACCACUGAUCUGCCACCUCCCUCAGGGCCAGUCGGAGACCCUCAGACCAAGCUCCAAGGAACACACAGGCAUCACAGCCUCACACACUUUCCAAGGGGACAAGGAAGAAGGGGCCAUACAUCAUGUGCAGAAGCAAAUGGGCCAGAGAAUGAGGCCAGGGAAUCCAAGGAGGAGAAGAGUCUAGGCUAGACCUGAGGCCAGAAUGAAGACAGCCAGACACCCACAUCCAGGCCAACAGGCCAGCAUCCAACCCCACUAGCCAGAGAAACCAAGACUUUCAUAAUAGGUCUGGUGGGAAGGAAGCUCAAUUUAACAAAGUCAAACAACCGAAUGCACAAGGCACCGGGCUGCGCAGGACACUACCAAGGAGCCUUUGGAAAGGAAGACUCAAAGAAACAAGGAAAUACCUAUUUUUGUGCUGAGCCUGCAGAAGUGGACGGCUGUGAGGAAGGAGGACUGGACAAGGCGGGUGUGAUCUAACGGUAACAAACUGAGGGGAGUUAGCAAGGCCAGUUCGUUCAGAGUCUUGUUGUCCGUGUCUCUGAGGAUUAGGAUGUUCCUACUGUCCCUUUCCUCUGGGUUUCGGGAGGGUAACUGUGGCGUGAGGAAAUUAUGGCUUGCUUUGGGGAGAAGGGCCAGAGGGAAGUGAGAGUGACCUUCCUGCUUCUGCUGUUUUGUCAAAUGCCAAGGUGCCAUAUUUGGAGGUCAUGUGUCCUGAACCCCACCAGGAGGAAGUGAUUAAAUCAGCCAGGAAGGCAGGCAAAUCAGAGAACGUGACCCCCCCCAACUCCCACCAGGGCAGAGCCUGCGUUUCAGGAAGAAGGCACUUAGAGAAGGUGGAGUGGCCCAGAGGCUACAAUCUCAUAGCACAUCUAGGAACCUCCAGCCACCCCCCUGGGGCAGGAGUAGGACUAGCGUCUUAACCAGAGGAGUGACAGGCUCAGCUUGACCAUUCUGUAGCUCAGUCCCAUAGGUGUGCAGAGAAUGAGGUGGGGGAGGGAAAUGGGCACAAAGAGUGGGGAAGAGCAGUCAUCCAAGCCAGCAGGGCUACACUGAAAGCAGAAAGGGGGAACCAGUCAGGAAACCGUCUACAGAGUUUGGUGCUUGCCUGGAUGUGGCAGCCGGGACCAGAGAAGAAUGUAGGGAUGACAGCUGGCAGGGAGAAGGAAAGGGGAAGGGAACUAAGGGGACUGAGGUACA